GAUGAACGCUGGCGGCGUGCUUAACACAUGCAAGUCGAACGGAAAGGCUCCUGCUUGCAGGGGUACUCGAGUGGCGAACGGGUGAGUAACACGUGGGUGAUCUGCCCUGCACUUCGGGAUAAGCCUGGGAAACUGGGUCUAAUACCGGAUAGGACCAUGGUUUGGAUGCCAUUGUGGAAAGUUUUUUCGGUGUGGGAUGAGCUCGCGGCCUAUCAGCUUGUUGGUGGGGUAAUGGCCUACCAAGGCGUCGACGGGUAGCCGGCCUGAGAGGGUGUACGGCCACAUUGGGACUGAGAUACGGCCCAGACUCCUACGGGAGGCAGCAGUGGGGAAUAUUGCACAAUGGGCGCAAGCCUGAUGCAGCGACGCCGCGUGGGGGAUGACGGCCUUCGGGUUGUAAACUCCUUUCGCUAGGGACGAAGCGCAAGUGACGGUACCUGGAGAAGAAGCACCGGCUAACUACGUG
rnacentral:rRNA from 1 species